rnacentral:misc_RNA from 1 species
AACUGAUACUACCUGCGGGAACCUGCGGAAGGAUCAUUAACACGUAUCCAAAAAUACACCUUAUUCACCCCUUUUAGUGUCAAUUUGUACUGUCAAACAUCAAAGCCUCAACGCACUGCGCUUCUUUCUUAUGAAUGAAAGUUGUUUGGUUUGGCUCACGCAGUCCGCGGUUUUGAGGGAAUUUUUCAAAUUCUCUUUUUAGUGAUAAUCUCAGAGCAAAAUGAAACACAACUCUAUUUU